rnacentral:tRNA from 2 species
GGGCGAUUAGCUCAGUUGGUCUAGAGCGCCCGCCUCACACGCGGGAGGUCACUGGUUCAAGUCCAGUAUCGCCCACCA